rnacentral:rRNA from 1 species
AGGCGAAGCGUGCUGUUGGAGUGCACGUCCAAGCAGUAAGGCUGAGUGUUAGGCAAAUCCGGCACUCAUAAGGCUGAGCUGUGAUGGGGAGAGGAAAUUGUUUCCUCGAGUCGUUGAUUUCACACUGCCGAGAAAAGCCUCUAGAUAGAUAACAGGUGCCCGUACCGCAAACCGACACAGGUAGUCAAGAUGAGAAUUCUAAGGUGAGCGAGCGAACUCUCGUUAAGGAACCCGGCAAAAUGACCCCGUAACUUCGGGAGAAGGGGUGCUCUUUAGGGUUCACGCCCAGAAGAGCCGCAGUGAAUAGGCCCAAGCGACUGUUUAUCAAAAACACAGGUCUCUGCUAAACCGUAAGGUGAUGUAUAGGGGCUGACGCCUGCCCGGUGCUGGAAGGUUAAGAGGAGUGGUUAGCUUCUGCGAAGCUACGAAUCGAAGCCCCAGUAAACGGCGGCCGUAACUAU